rnacentral:rRNA from 1 species
UUUCGUCCUACGGGAGGCAGCAGUGGGGAAUAUUGGACAAUGGGCGCAAGCCUGAUCCAGCCAUACCGCGUGGUGUGAAGAAGGCCUUCGGGUUGUAAAGCCCUUUGUUGGGGGAGGAAAUGCCAGCCGAGCUAAUACCUUGUUGGGAUGACGGUACCCAAAGAAUAAGCACCGGCAUCG